GACGAACCGUGCGAACGUUGUUCGGAAUCACUGGGCUUAAAGGGCGCGUAGGCGGCUUGCCAAGUCAAUGGUGAAAUCCCACAGCUUAACUGUGGAAGUGCCUUUGAUACUGGCGAGCUCGAGGGAGGUAGGGGUAUGUGGAACUUCUGGUGAAGCGGUGAAAUGCGUAGAUAUCGUGAGGAAGACCAGUGGCGAAGGCGGGUCUCUGGACAGUUCCUGACACUGAGGCACGAAGGCCAGGGGAGCAAACGGG
rnacentral:rRNA from 1 species